AGCGAACGCUGGCGGCAGGCCUAACACAUGCAAGUCGAACGAACUCUUCGGAGUUAGUGGCGGACGGGUGAGUAACACGUGGGAACGUGCCUUUUGGUUCGGAAUAACUCAGGGAAACUUGUGCUAAUACCGAAUGUGCCCUUCGGGGGAAAGAUUUAUCGCCAUUAGAGCGGCCCGCGUCUGAUUAGCUAGUUGGUGAGGUAACGGCUCACCAAGGCGACGAUCAGUAGCUGGUCUGAGAGGAUGACCAGCCACUCUGGGACUGAGACACGGCCCAGACUCCUACGGGAGGCAGCAGUGGGGAAUCUUGCGCAAUGGGCGAAAGCCUGACGCAGCCAUGCCGCGUGAAUGAUGAAGGUCUUAGGAUUGUAAAAUUCUUUCACCGGGGACGAUAAUGACGGUACCCGGAGAAGAAGCCCCGGCUAACUUCGUG
rnacentral:rRNA from 1 species